rnacentral:rRNA from 1 species
GAAAUUUGGCCUAAUGCCCCGUAGUCCGCGUGGCGGCAUCGCCAUGCGGGAAAGACGAGUCGGUAGGGGAUGGGCAUGCGGCGCAUUAGCUGGUUGGCGGGGCAACGGCCCACCAAGGCUACGAUGCGUAGGGGUUCUGAGAGGAAGGUCCCCACACUGGUACUGAGACACGGACCAGACUCCUACGGGAGGCAGCAGUGAGGAAUAUUGGUCAAUGGGCGGGAGCCUGAACCAGCCAAGUCGCGUGCGGGAAGACGGCCCUACGGGUUGUAAACCGUCUUUAGCCGGGGAGUAACGUGCGGCACGUGUGCCGCAGUGAGAGUACCCGGAGAAUAAGCAUCGGCUAACUCCGUGCC